rnacentral:lncRNA from 1 species
CCGCAUAGCACCCGGUGGUCGCUCCGCUGCGCUCCGGAGAGCUCCGAGAGCCUCGCACACUGUGUCCUCUCCAUUGCUGUCAGAAGUCAGGCGGCCCAGACCCUCCUCCAGCUGUGGCCCUUGCUGUCUGCAAACAAGUUCCUCCACGUGUCUGCCUGGAGCACAAACGACCAGGACGCAAGACGAGUGGAUUCCCUUUUGCAGGCAGAGUUUCUGUGUGUCACACUGGCUGUGCUAGAUCGUGCUCUGCAGACCAGACUGGCCUGGAAUUCACAGAGAUUUGCCUGCCUUUGCCUCCCAUGGGCUGGGAUUAAAGGCAUGCACCACCACUGCCCCACAACACUUGCUACAGUUGCAGAGGAGAUGAGUUUGAGCCCCAGCAUCCACAUAGCAUCUUACAAACUAGUUUCCAGGGAUCAACAGCUUUCUUCUGAUCUUCUCGGGCACUAAGCAUGCAUAGUACACUUGUAUACAUGCAUGCUAAUAUUCAUGCACAAAAAAGUUAAAAUAUAUAAAACUUUAAACCAUAGCAAUAGUGAAAAUGAACAUAGGACUUCAUGCCUGCUCAUAUCUCCACAGAGCUAUGCGUUCUUUAGUGGCUGGCACCCAUGGCUGAUUUUCACUGUCAUUUGAUUAGAUUGGAAUGGCCUAGGAGAUGCACCUUUGAGAGACUCUAUGCUUCCUCCUGACUGCAGAUGCAGUGUGACCAGCUGCCUCGCUCCUGGUCCCACUGUUCUCACUGUCAAGCUUCCUCCACUGUGGUGGACCGCACCUUUAAACUGUGAGCUAAAAUAAACUCUUUCUUCCUUAAACUGUCCUUUCGGGUAUUUCAUCAGAGAAAUGAGACCACUAAAU